UACGGGGGGGGCAAGCGUUGUUCGGGAUUACUGGGCGUAAAGGGCUCGUAGGUGGCCAACUAGGUCAGACGUGAAAUCCCUCGGCUUAACCGGGGAACUGCGUCUGAUACUGGAUGGCUUGAGUUCGGGAGAGGGAUGCGGAAUUCCAGGUGUAGCGGUGAAAUGCGUAGGUAUCUGGAGGAACACCGGUGGCGAAGGCGGCAUCCUGGACCGACACUGACGCUGAGGAGCGAAAGCCAGGGGAGCAAACGGG
rnacentral:rRNA from 1 species